rnacentral:rRNA from 1 species
GACGAACGCUGGCGGCGUGCUUAACACAUGCAAGUCGAACGCUGAACCCGCUUCGGUGGGGGAUGAGUGGCGAACGGGUGAGUAACACGUGGGCAACCUGCCCCCGGCUCUGGGAUAACUCCAAGAAAUUGGGGCUAAUACCGGAUGUGACCGCUGGCCGCAUGGUCUGGUGGUGGAAGGGUUUCCGGCUGGGGAUGGGCCCGCGGCCUAUCAGCUUGUUGGUGGGGUAGUGGCCUACCAAGGCGACGACGGGUAGCCGGCCUGAGAGGGUGACCGGCCACACUGGGACUGAGACACGGCCCAGACUCCUACGGGAGGCAGCAGUGGGGAAUAUUGCGCAAGGGGCGGAGGCCUGACGCAGCGACGCCGCGUGGGGGAUGACGGCCUUCGGGUUGUAAACCUCUUUCAGCAGGGACGAAGCGCAAGUGACGGUACCUGCAGAAGAAGCACCGGCCAACUACGUG